rnacentral:rRNA from 1 species
AGCGAACGCUGGCGGUAGGCCUAACACAUGCAAGUCGAACGGCAGCACAGUACGUGCUUGCUCUUCCGGGUGGCGAGUCGCGGAAGGGUGAGGAAUACAUCGGAAUCUACUUUUUCGUGGGGGUUAACGAAGGGAAACUUACGCUAAUACAGCAUACGACCUACGGGUGAAAGCAGGGGAUCUUCGGACCUUGCGCGAUUGAAUGAGCCGAUGUCGGAGUAGCUAGUUGGCGGGGUAAAGGCCCACCAGGGCGCCGAUACGUAGCUGGUCUGAGUGGAGGGUCGGCGGCACUGGAGCGGGACCACGGUCCAGAGGCCUGCGGGAGGCAGCAGAGUGGAACAGUGGGCAGUGGGGGCAAGCCUUGUCCAAUCAUACCGCGUGUGUGAAGGAGGCGUUCGGGUUGUAAAGCCGUUUUGUUGGGAAAAAAAAGCAGCAGGUUGAUACCCCGCGGUUCUGACGGUACCCAGUAAAGAAGCACCGGCUAACUUCGUG